rnacentral:other from 1 species
CGGGCUCGACCCCGUGCGUUGAGCGCCGUGAGUUAUCGUUGAGCCAACACUUCGAUUAAGGGAACCGUUUUCCGCCGGUGGAAGUAAUGCCCCCGCCCGGGUGGGGGACUACGGAGAUCGGCGGUAGGUGCCCACCUGCGUGGGUGCAGGUUCAAGAUAGCGGCGCGGACGGCGGGGUGGAGCCCUG